rnacentral:rRNA from 1 species
CACGUAGGGGACGAGCGUUGUCCGGAUUCAUUGGGCGUAAAGCUCGCGUAGGCGGUUUGUCGCGUCUGCCGUGAAAGUCCGGGGCUCAACUCCGGAUCUGCGGUGGGUACGGGCAGACUAGAGUGAUGUAGGGGAGACUGGAAUUCCUGGUGUAGCGGUGAAAUGCGCAGAUAUCAGGAGGAACACCGGUGGCGAAGGCGGGUCUCUGGGCCGAUACUGACGCUGAGGAGCGAAAGCGUGGGGAGCGAACAGG